rnacentral:rRNA from 1 species
GACGAACGCUGGCGGCGUGCUUAACACAUGCAAGUCGAACGGAAAGGCCCUGCUUGCAGGGUACUCGAGUGGCGAACGGGUGAGUAACACGUGGGUGAUCUGCCCUGCACUUCGGGAUAAGCCUGGGAAACUGGGUCUAAUACCGGAUAUGACCUUCCAUGUAGUGUGGGGGGUGGAAAGAUUUAUCGGUGUGGGAUGAGCCCGCGGCCUAUCAGCUUGUUGGUGGGGUAAUGGCCUACCAAGGCGUCGACGGGUAGCCGGCCUGAGAGGGUGGACGGCCACAUUGGGACUGAGAUACGGCCCAGACUCCUACGGGAGGCAGCAGUGGGGAAUAUUGCACAAUGGGCGGAAGCCUUAUGCAGCGACGCCGCGUGGGGGAUGACGGCCUUCGGGUUGUAAACCUCUUUCGACAGGGACGAAGCUUCGGUGACGGUACCUGUAGAAGAAGCACCGGCUAACUACGCG